rnacentral:rRNA from 1 species
UUAGCAGUGAGGAAUAUUGGUCAAUAGCCUAACGGCUGAACCAGCAACUUGGAAGAAUGUAUAGCGAAAGCUAAUUGCAUAGUUUGUUUUAAUUAAAUUAUGCAAUGUCGACUAUGUCGUAUAAAGUUCUAAAUAGAAUAAUGAUGAUGACAUAUUCUAUUUAUGUGUCUUGACCAAUUCACGUGCCWGCAGUCGCGGCAACACGUGUAAGACUAGUGUUAUUCAUCUUUAAUAGGUUUAAAGGGUACUUAGACGGUAAAUCAAGCCCCCCAAAGGGUACUAAUUUUCUAGAGUUUUAUAGGAUAGGGGAAGUACUACUGGUGUAAAGAUGAAAUUUUGUGAUACCAUUAUUGGACUGUCAAAGGCGAAAGCAACCCUUUAUGUAUAAACUGACGUUGAAGGACGAAGGG